CUUGGUAACAAGGGGUGGUUUUUCCCUGUACGUGGAUCUACAGCCCACUGCCUACUCGGCCAUAUUACC
rnacentral:tRNA from 1 species